CUUGGGACAGAUGCUCUUUAGAGUUAACCUGUGAUGUGGGCUCCACGUGGGGUUCAGCACUGCCGCUUGUGUCUGGGCACUGAGACCGGCUCUUCCUUUUAGCCUCCUGUUCUAUGAAGACCUUGGCCCUCGGGGAUCUGGGGAAGGAGCUGACUCUGAGAAGGCCAUGAGCCGGGGUACAGGAAAGCCGCUCCUGUCCCAGACCCUGGAGGACUUCAGCAUCCGCACACUGUACGACAAGCUCGAGGACCAGAACCUGCAUGUUGCGUCCCAGCUGAGCAAGCACAGGAGUGAUGCCCUGGCCUUCUACAGGGCCACUGCGCAGCAACUCCAGGGAC
rnacentral:lncRNA from 10 species